ACCUUGAGGAUUGCCACCAUCUGCUUGUGCUCUUAUUCUGGUAUAAUGAUCAGAUAUAUUCAUAAUAACUAAAGGAUGAAGUUGAACACAAACACUCCUUGUAUUUCCCACAGAUGACACAACAACACUCUCUUUGCCCGCCAUCUUGAAAUUUUCUUAACUAAUUAGCUAGUUUCCAGUUUUCGCAAAAUCUCGCACAACAUGGCUGACUCAGGAGUGGAUAAAAGAAAAAUAAAAGGUAAAUUCUUCUUGACUUGCAAUGAUGUGGGCGACGGUCAUG